CAACAAUAACAUUUAAGGUCACAGUGACCUUGACCUUAGAAUGAAUGACCUUGAAAUGACCAGUGGUCAUCUAAGUGUGCUUGCAAACCUUCAUGUCAAGUUUGAAGACUCUAUGUCCAAGCAUACCAAAGUUAUAACAAUUGUAACAUUUUAACAUUUAAGGUCACAGUGACCUUGACCUUCAAAUGAAUGACAUUGAAAUGACCAGUGGUCAUCUUCUAGUACUGGCCAAUCUUUAUUUCAAGUUUGAAGACUCUAGGUACAAGCAUACCAAAGUUAUAACAUGAAAUAAGAACUUUAACAUUUUUACAUUCAAGGUCACAGUGACCUUGACCUUCAAAUGAAUGACCUUGAAAUGUCCAGGGGUUACUUACUAGUUCUGGCCAACCUUCAUGUCAAGUUUCAAGACUCUAGGUCCAAGCAUACCAAAGUUAUAACAACUUUAAAAUUUUUACAUUCAAGGUCACAGUGACCUUGACCUUCAAAUGAAUGACCUUGAAAUGUCCAGUGGUUACUUACUAGUUCUGGCCAACCUUCAUGUCAAGUUUCAAGACUCUAGGUCCAAGCAUACCAAAGUUAUAACAACUUUAACAUUUUUAUAUAGCUACAGUAGGACAUUCAAUGAAAUCACGAAAUUUUGACGAACAAAGUCCCAUAACUCUGGAACGACAAUUCAGAAUUCCGUCAAAAACGAAAGGGGAUCAGGGUUUAUCAAUAUUAAGAUUGUGUUAAAAUUUGAAGAAAAUCUGUCAAAGGAUAUUUGACGUAGCGUACGACAUUAACAGACGGACGGACGGACGGACGCGGGGUAUACCAUAAUACGUCCCGUCAUAGA